GUCCUUAGUACGAGAGGACCGGGAUGGACGUACCGCUGGUGUACCAGUUGUUCCGCCAGGAGCACCGCUGGGUAGCCAAGUACGGACGGGAUAAGCGCUGAAAGCAUCUAAGCGUGAAGCCCCCCUCUAGAUGAGAUUUCCCAAUUAGUAAGACCCCUUGAAGACGACGAGGUUGAUAGGUUCGGGGUGGAAGCACGGCAACGUGUGGAGCUGACGAAUACUAAUCGGUCGAGGGCUUAUCCUA
rnacentral:rRNA from 1 species